UACGUAGGUGGCAAGCGUUGUCCGGAAUUAUUGGGCGUAAAGGGAGCGCAGGUGGGCGUGUAAGUCUUUCUUAAAAGUGCGGGGCUCAACCCCGUGAUGGGAAAGAAACUAUAUGCCUUGAGUGCAGGAGAGGAAAGCGGAAUUCCUAGUGUAGCGGUGAAAUGCGUAGAUAUUAGGAGGAACACCAGUGGCGAAGGCGGCUUUCUGGACUGUAACUGACACUGAGGCUCGAAAGCCAGGGGAGCGAACGGG
rnacentral:rRNA from 1 species